UUUUUUAAUUGAAAACUUGUAUGAAUGGUUGAAUGAGAUAUUAUCUGUUUCAUAAAAAUUUAUAUAGAAUUUUAUUUUUUAGUUAAAAAGCUAAAAUAAAAUUAAAGGACGAGAAGACCCUAUAAAGUUUUAUAAUUUUAUUUUUAUAUAAUUUAUAAAGAAUAUCAAAGAUUUUAAAAAUAAAAUUAUUUUGUUGGGGUGAUAAUAAAAUUUAAUAAACUUUUAUUGUUUUUUAACAUUAAUUUUUGGUUAAAUGAUCCAAUUUUAUUGAUUAAAAAGUUAAAUUACUUUAGGGAUAACAGCGUAAUUUUUUUUUAAAGUUCAUAUUUAUAGAAAAGAUUGC
rnacentral:rRNA from 1 species